CGGCUGGGACGCGUGCCUAGUACAUGCAAUGCGAGCGAACAGAGAAGGAGCUUGCUCCUUUGACGUUAGCGGCGGACGGGUGAGUAACACGUGGGCAACCUACCUUAUAGUUUGGGAUAACUCCGGGAAACCGGGGCUAAUACCGAAUAAUCUGUUUCACCUCAUGGUGAAAUAUUGAAAGACGGUUUCGGCUGUCGCUAUAGGAUGGGCCCGCGGCGCAUUAGCUAGUUGGUGAGGUAACGGCUCACCAAGGCGACGAUGCGUAGCCGACCUGAGAGGGUGAUCGGCCACACUGGGACUGAGACACGGCCCAGACUCCUACGGGAGGCAGCAGUAGGGAAUCUUCCACAAUGGGCGAAAGCCUGAUGGAGCAACGCCGCGUGAGUGAAGAAGGAUUUCGGUUCGUAAAACUCUGUUGUAAGGGAAGAACAAGUACAGUAGUAACUGGCUGUACCUUGACGGUACCUUAUUAGAAAGCCACGGCUAACUACGUGCCAGCAGCCGCGGUAAUACGUAGGUGGCAAGCGUUGUCCGGAAUUAUUGGGCGUAAAGCGCGCGCAGGUGGUUUCUUAAGUCUGAUGUGAAAGCCCACGGCUCAACCGUGGAGGGUCAUUGGAAACUGGGAGACUUGAGUGCAGAAGAGGAUAGUGGAAUUCCAG
rnacentral:rRNA from 1 species